CAUUUUUAUAUCUCCACCCUGUGCACCUCUUGUAAAUCUGAAUAACUUUCUGAUUGCGCCGAGCAAUCAGGUUUGAGGAUUGAUUUUUUUCUUCCCUUAAAUUUUCAGGUUUAUGUUUUUCAUAUACCCCCAAGUAUGUUAUAGAAUGUUAUGAACGGGCCUUUUGUGCCUAUAAAAUUUAUACAACUUUCAGCAACGGAUCUCUUGGCUCUCGCAUCGAUGAAGAACGCAGCGAAAUGCGAUAAGUAAUGUGAAUUGCAGAAUUCAGUGAAUCAUCGAAUCUUUGAACGCACCUUGCGCUCCUUGGUAUUCCGAGGAGCAUGCCUGUUUGAGUGUCAUUAAUAUAUCAACCUCUUCAGCUUUUUGCAUGUUGAAUGUUGGAUGUGGGGGUAUCUUUUGCUGGACUCUAUAAAAUGAGGUCAGCUCCCCUAAAAUGCAUCAGCGAAACAAUUUGUUUACCGCUCAUUGGUGUGAUAACUAUCUACGCUAUUGACGGUGACGCAUGUUUAGCUUCUAAUAGUCCA
rnacentral:rRNA from 1 species